AUGAGAUAAAAAUACUGGAAAUUAGUGAUUUUUAUAAUUUUACCCUUAAAAGGAAUAAAUAACAACAGAAAAUGUCUACGGUCUCUAUCUCUCUUAUGAACGAAUUCUUUUCAAGUCUCCUGCUAUUGCCUUCUCCAUUCUAUUGAACCUCCCCUAUAUAUUUUUUUCUUUCUUUCUUAAACACUCGAAUAAAUGAAUCAUGAGUUGAAGAUGGAGGAGAACAAGGAUCAAAAUAGGGGAUGUGUCUUUUGAUGGUGAUUCCUGAUCUACACAUCAACUAACCCUAAUUAUGUAUCUUUCUUCCUCCGUCCCGUUGGCAGCAGCAACAACUUCUUCUUCAUUCAACUUCAAAAUCAGCUGCGACAACAAUUUCCUUCGAACACAACCCAAACUUCUGUAACUCGAGCAACCCAAACUCACGAACUCAAAUAUUCAUCCCUCUUGUCGGUCCCACCUCCAUGACAGUACCUUCAAACUUCAAACCUAGAUUUAGGUUCUUCCCCAAAUUGAAGAACCCUAAUUCAUAAAUUGAAGAAAACCCAUGAUAAAUCAGAGCUUCUAAGUUGAAAUUGUAUGACCAAUUUGAUCAAUAAAAGAUGUACAUAAGGAGAAGAAGAAACAUGGUUACGGAUGGUGGUUGAUUUUGGGCUGAAUCGAAGAUGGUGGUUGAGUACAGCUGUUGUUGUUGUUACUGAAGACUAUGGUUGAAUUCAAUGUUGAGUUGCAGGUGGGUUAUGCAAUGAAGAUGACAUGGAAUUGGGUUGAACAGAGAAUAUAUGGAGAUGGGUCUUAACUGAAGCGCUGAUGUUUAUGAAGAACAUGAUGCAGUGAUGGAAUUAAAACUUCAGAGAUGGAGUCUGUGUUGAUUGAUAUUGCAUAUGGAGUAGAGUAGGAUCAGUUGUUGCCGCUUGAAUGAAGAAGAUCUAUGUAUGGUAAUGGAAUUUUGUUGUAGUCUAACUUAUGUAUGAGCUGUCGCCAUCGGUUGUGGUGUAUAUAAGGCGUGGGAAUAAUUGGAUGUUGCGCUGAAAUUUGCUUUAGAGAGAAACGUGAGAAGAUGAGUAGUGUUGUAACCCAGAUUAAUAGAAUUGAGCUCGAGGGGUGGUUGUGAUGGUUGUGCAUUAGAAAGAUCGUGUGUAUGAAUGUGAACUGUGGUGCUCAGAGGGUAUGACAGUAGUUUCAUUAGUAAUUA